UUCAGAAUUAACACACAUCAUGUAAUAAGGCCCUUCUGGAUAGCAGGCCCAUGCAAGGUAUCAAUACUGUUCUGUCAGUUUUAAGUGGUAUAAUAAUGAAGUAUUGAUAUAACUACCAAGGAUGAAAACAAGAUAUUUAAGAGUAUGAAGGAGAGCCAUAGCUGUGAAGCUGAAUGAUACUCCCAUGAAACAGCAUUUAGAAGUAAGAUUAGACCUCAGCAAGUCAUGAAUAUGACAGUAUACUUAUGCUUUCCUCUUCUGCCAAUAUAACACAAAGCCUUCAAGAUGCUCUUCCAGCAGUGCCAGAGUGAACAAAGUUUGGUUUCAUAAGUGUCAAAUAUUUGACAGAUGCUUCAGUAUUUCUAUACUAGAAUUGAUGGCCAGUUUUAAUCUCAUCUUUUGCCUCUAUUUACACAAGGUAAGCAGCUGUUGUUAGCUAUAUUUUUUUUUUUUUUUGUCUGUACCAUGCAAAAAUAAUCAACUUGCUGCAGUUUCUUGGUUCAGGGUUGCCAGUUUCCCACCUGCUUCAUUUGCAGAUGGAGCUCCACAGUCAGGUCAACUAAAACAAGGGUUUAC